rnacentral:lncRNA from 1 species
UGUGGCCACUGGCCUUAGGAGCAGGAGGCCGAGCAGCCAGGGCUGCUUUCCCAUCGCUGUCUCAGCUGCUCCCGCUGGCCUUCUGCUCAGGCUGGUGUCUCCUUGGCCGGCUCCCUGCUUCUCAGCUCAUGCCUCCAGCCUUCUGGACUCUAGGAUCACAUGUGGCUGCCCACCUCGGACAGGGUUGACUAGAGGUGAAGAGGUGCCAUGCACUCCAGGAGAAGAGCUGACUGGAUCCUAUACUCAAAGAAUGGGCCACGGAUCCCUACCUGUCCACUGUUUGUUACUGGGCUGGGAAGCUGCAAGACCCGAUGCUGGGGAACUUCCAGUCUAUGCUGAGUAAGAGUGAUGAGAGCAGACAUCCUGCCUUUGUUCCUAAUCUUAGGAGGAAAGCAUUCAAUCUUUCACAGAGCCCACCAUGAAAUCUGUCCCAAAUCAUGGAACCCCGAGGUGAAAGGCCCCCAGGCAUGCCAACACAUGGCAGACAAAUCCAGUUGUGUCCAGGGAUGGCGUUCCCUCCAGUUUUCUGAAAGACGCUCCCAUAUUCCUUAAGCACAGGGAUCUACUAAAGGAUGUGCUCCUUAAAAAUGAGGGAGUAAGCCGAGAAAGAGGAAGAUGUGGGCUCUAGAAAAUGGAAUCCAAUGCAGCAAAAGGCAUCUGAAAAUCAGUGGAAAUCAUCGCCAACUCUCACUCCUCCCAAUUACCUCCUGGGUGGGCUGGAACCUGAGAAAUCUCAUCAGUAAAGCUCAACAGCGUUGCCGAAUGCAUUCUCCUCUUCAGGCUACAAGAGCUUUGGGGUUGCAUGCUGUCACUCAAGAUCAACCGUAAGGGGCUCACAGAGGUCCAGAGAGGCCUCAGUGCUCCCUGAUGUUGAUGCCCCCAAAACCAGUCCAAAUCUAAGCCAGGUGCUCGGACCCACAGCAGCGGUCAGGGCCCUGCAGCCGGGCAGAACGCUGCUCCUCUGCGAACCUAACAGGGACAGGCAGAAGAGUAGAUAGAUGCCCACCCUCCCCGAUCUCCAGCUGAGAUGCACAUUGGCCCAGAACAAGUGAGCUGCCUUGCAGAGCCACCACGAGAAGGAAGCCGAGGCAGGAACAGAAGUGUCUGCUGUCUAUGUGCUAACAUGCACACAGACUGUGCCCCAGUUUCUAGCCCCGAGUCACAGCGAGGCUUCUCUGAGGACACAGUCCUGCUCUUUUGCCUGCCAAGUCAUCGGCUCCCCGCACCUCUAGUGGGAAGCUGUGGGGUGGCCGAGAACUGGGUGAGCCCACCCCCCACCAGAAGGCUCUCUGUUCACCCAGUGACAUCAUCUUCUGCUCCCUGUGAUCUUGGUAAUCCUAUCCAUCCUGUGCUUUCCCCCAGAAAAAUAAAUUAAAGCAGGGCCCUCUGAGUCCCCAAUCUACUUAAUUGUACUGCCUUCACAGUCUUUGUUUGAGAAACAGUCCCCACAGCUCAAGACUCUUCAAGCAUGGAUCUGUAUUGCCAUGAUUAUUUCUGGAAUCUCUUUGAAAUUCCACUCGAUGCAGAAAACAUGUCCCACCUGUCUCAGAUCUCACUCCAUUCAGUCCAUGCAGAGUGGUCUUUCCACCCAGCCCCUCUCCUGGGGAGCCAACCUGGGAAAGUUCCCACACACCUUGUCAGAGCCCCACUACCUGGGCAGUGAUCAGGAGGUUUGCAGAAAAUGGAGAGGCCUUAAUUUACAGCCAAUGAGGUCAGGCCAUCACAGCGAUGCCCAGGGCAGAGGGCAAGAAGGAAUGAGCUCCACAGACGUCCAACUGCCCUCAGGAUUGGAGAAUCCAGACAGCCCCUGCAUGCCUCCUCUGGCUUCAUCCAAGUCAGGACAGAGUCAUCUGCAGGCACAAAUCAACUCCAGAACCUUUCCUGAAUGACACAAAGGCUCUGAAAUCGGUGUCUGCCUCUGGUCAGUUUGAGCCCCUCUCCUGCACUGUGUACAGGAAGAAUGACAGACUUUAUGCAGAAUGCUUUUAAUUUUUCUCUAUGUCAGAGCAAUGCUCAACUCACUGAGCCCUGACUUGCAGGAUGACUAGUUCCAGGGCACCCUGGGGCAAUCCUGUUCCAGGAACAACCUUUAGUGAGCCAGGGUGGUCCUUUUCCAUCCUGCUCACACGUGUGCCAACAAUCGGAUUUUAGUACUUUCUGUGCUCCCAGAGGACUGACUCCUGGGGAUGGCCGCCAUCUGCUCAGCCUCCUGUCACAAGCCUGAGUCCCACCUCGCUGCUAGUCACAGAUCCCAGCCAGCCCGUAGCUCCUGUCCAAACACAAAAGCCAGGUCUUGCAGUAGAAGACAAAUCCCAUGCACCAACUUAUUAAACUAAAGAAGAAGCCAAGUGAAAAAGGCAUCACCAGAAGUAACUUGAAGUUGUUCUGGGCUUUUGGCUUGGUGCCAGUCUAGCUGAAAAUCAGGUAGCUGAGGUGUGGUGGGAAGCUGGAGUCAGAGGGACCAAAGUGGAAAUGAAUGCCCUUGGACAGAAUGCCACAAUAGGCCAAGCACAUGGUAAGCACUUGAUCGAUGCCAGCUACCAUUUUUGCUUAUUUGCUUUUAUUAUUAAUGUUUAAAUUUAUAGACAGUGAAAUGGACUUCCAUGUAGUGUACAGUUCUAUGAGUUUUAAGACAUGUAGAUUUGUGUAACCACCUCCACAAUUAGGUUAUGGAAGACUUCCAUCCCCCAGACUCUGGCCUCAAGCUGCCUUUCAUAGCCAAACUCUUCUCCACCCCCAACCCCUGACAACUGCUGGUCUGUUUUCCAUCCCUAUGGUUUUGCUUUAUAAACUCACGCAGUAGGUAACCUUUUGCAAUUAGUUUUCUUUCACUCAGUGUAAUGCCUUUGAAGUUUCUCCAUGUUGUCAUCUGUCUCAAUAGUUUAUUCCUUUUUAUUGUGAGGUAGUAUUUCAUAUACCACAGUGUGUUUCUCAAUUCACCCAUCAAUAAGAGUGUUUCAGUUUUAGUGAUGAUAA